rnacentral:lncRNA from 12 species
CUUCAGGAGGAGGCGAGAGAGGCCCGGAGGCUGGGAGGGGCCUGGCGCGCACCAGUGGCCUCCACCCAGGCGGCAGUGGCAGUCGGGCCUGGCAGGGCUCCAGGGCUCCGGGGGCCUGAACAGGACUGACAGGGCUGAAGGGCAGUUAGCCCCCAAGGCAUGA